rnacentral:rRNA from 1 species
AAUAUUGUACAAUGGGCGCAAGCCUGAUCCAGCCAUGCCGCGUGUGUGAGGAAGGUCUUCGGAUUNUUAAGCACUUUAAUUUUGGGNGAAGGGCAGUUAACGAAUACUUAACUGUUUUGACGUUACCAAAAGAAGAAGCACCGGCUCACGUCGCUCCAGCCGCCGCGGUAAUACGAAGGGUGCAAGCGUUAAUCGGAUUUAGUGGGCGUAAAGCGAGCGUAGGUGGUUCGUUAAGUUGGAAGUGAAAGCCCAGGGCUCAACCUGGGAAUUGCUUUCAAAACUGGCGAGCUAGAGUACGGUAGAGGGUGGUGGAAUUUCCUGUGUAGCGGUGAAAUGCGUAGAUAUAGGAAGGAACAUCAGUGGCGAAGGCGACCACCUGGACUGAUACUGACACUGAGGUGCGAAAGCGUGGGGAGCAAACAGG